UGGGCAACCUGCCCCUCUCUCUGGGAUAACCCCGGGAAACCGGAGCUAAUACCGGAUACUCCGGCUGGAUCGCAUGGUCCGGCCGGGAAAGGUCCGCCGGAGAGGGAUGGGCCCGCGGCCUAUCAGCUUGUUGGUGGGGUCAUGGCUCACCAAGGCGACGACGGGUAGCUGGUCUGAGAGGACGACCAGCCACACUGGAACUGAGAUACGGUCCAGACUCCGUACGGGGAGGCA
rnacentral:rRNA from 1 species